ACAGCUUCCCUCCCUCCAAACAUUUUUUACCUCUCUCUGCUUGUUCUUUGCUGGAUUUCUUUGCUGUCAUAUUUGUUUUUAUUUCGACUUAAGACGGCUUUUUAAUGCUUCUGCUACCUCAUGAAUCUGUGUUUGAACCCACUCCGGUAAACCAGAGUAACAGACCUCGAAAGCUGCACUUGUGAAGCAAACACUGUAUCCAAAAGCAGUGGGAGCCGAUGGUGUCAGGAAGGAGGUGUCGCUCCCUGCCUCGGCUGCUCUGCCGUGCCACAUCUGUCCGUCUGUCAAGCAUACAGGCCCAUCAAUCACACUGUGAGCGCAGAUGAUCUUGUGAACUCAUCGUGAAUCCUGACCAUCUGGUAAGCAGAUACAGGGUUAAAGAAAGAGCUGCUGGGCAGAGCAACCACAGUGCAUCAGGAUGCUGUGUGUUUAAGCGGUUACAGAUUGAACAAUCUGGACUGAAAAUACGACCACAGCGACCAAUGACAGGACCAAAAUGUGGAACCCAGUAUUUGAUCAGUAACAGCAGUGUAAAAAAGCCAUGGAAUCCAAGGUUAAAAACUCCUAACUCCUAAAUCAUAUGUUUAUAAGAUACUUAAAUGCAGCGGCAUACUCACUUUGAAGGAAUUCCUCCAGAUUAAACUUUUAUCAACAUCAUAAGCACAAGUUAAUGACUGCUAAUAAUGUUAAUGAACAUAUCCUCAGAGGUGAAACCAACAUGCAGUUUGCUUCAGUUUUCUGAGCUACAGAUUCUCACAGGCUGCAAAACAUGACCUGCAUUU